GGGAAGCCGGUCAGAUGCCGGCGCUGACCCGCAACCGUAGGCCGCCUGAAACGCGGCAAGCCGGAACACC
rnacentral:ncRNA from 2 species